GUAGGUGCAACUCCCAGCUGGGCAGCCAGAGGGGAAGCAGGAGAGAGCGGCUGGCACUUGGCUUUGGACGGCCUCCACCUGUGCCUCUGCCUGGCCCGGCCUCCCUCCCACAGGGAAGUGGAGCCGCGUCACAGGGUGUGCCCGGUCCACGUGCCCCACCAGGAGCCCCCUGAAACCAGCGUUCCCAGAGCCGAGAAGAUGGACGAUCAGCUUCCAGCACCCUCCCCCAGUCUGGCUGGGACUUGCAUCAGUCACGUAAGUAGCUGUGACUCAGCAGCAGCGCUGGGUCAGGAGGCAGAGCUGUGGCCUGGGCAGGCUUCCCCGUUCUGCAUUUGAACAUGGCCUGGUGCAGUUCCUGGGUCCAGUGGGUUCCAGUUUGGAUUUUGCAAACAAAGAUUCCCCCUCCUUCCAGUUUUCCUCCCUUGUUAUUUUUUGGGGCACUAUGGUGGGCAUAAGAUAUUUAGGACUUUAAAAGACCUUACAUGGUUUAUAAAACGAAGGGGAAGCUCUCAUUGUGAUCUUUGUUUUGAGCCAGUGGCCCAUGAAGCGUGUUGAACCCUCAUCUGUGUUUGGUUUGGCCCGAGUGGCGUUACUUUACGUGUCUGAUUCUGUGGGCCUCGGGACGCAGUGCGGCCAGUCACUCUGUCUCUGCUGCUGCUGCUGCUGCUCCUCUGUCCUGGGACCAAACAGACCCUCCAAGCCGCCGCGUGUUGGUGACCAGUCCACCCAGCCUCCCUUUCACACCUGGGACACAGAGGCCCGUUCAGGGCAAGUGGCAGGUCCCUCCCCCGUGCUCAGAGUCUGGGCAGAGCCAGGGUCCUGACCUUUCCUCCAGCCCGGCAUCCCUGCCCGGGCAGAGGAGUGUCCUGGGGUGGCAGAAAAGCUGCAGGGAGAACGCAACUCCCAGCCCCCUUCCCUGCCCGGGACAGGCCUCAGGGCUCCUGUCCACGGCCCCUGCGGGGUGUUCUCCUUCCCAGGCCGCCCUGCCAACCCUUCCACACAGCCGGGGUGCGUAGGCCCCUUUGGCCGAGGCAGGAGACCCCUUCGCUCUCAGUGGGCAGCUGAGCCCCUCAGGCUGACUCGAUUUCCUGAGACCCAGAUGGGCUUAGGCUCGGUGCUGGGGAGGUGGAGCCUCUUUCAGCCCCUGUGACAUCACGUGCUGCUUCUGGCUAGCGAGCAGCCACCAGCUCCUUCCCUGCCCAUCUGACCGAGAGGGGAACCUCGCUUCUGUUAGGACUGAGAUCCAGAUGGCCCUUUCGUUCAUUGGGAAUCAAAGGACAGAAGAUUUGGGUGAAACCCUGCUUCUUUCAGACUGCUUAAGGCAGCCCACCCUUAAUGGUCUCACGCCUCUUCUAACAGAGGUGAGAGUGAGCUGUGGACUCUCAGGAGGCGUCCCAGACGCUGGCUCCUGAGCACAGUCCCAUGGUGGCAGUGGCUCCCUGCUAGGCACAGUGGGUCUCCUGGACCCUGGAUGGCGCUAUGCUUCCUGGUUAGUAGGAGGGUCAUUCAUUCAGUGCCACACAGAAAACCACUCCAGAAAGGGGAGAAAGACAGCCCUCUCACAAGCCAGGAGGCUGAGACAGGACGGGCGGCUGGUUGGAGAGAUUCUUUCAGAGCAGGCAGGACAGCGGGCCAGGGAGGCCCCUCUGGAGGCCAGCAGGCACACAGCAAGGGAGUUUGGGUGACGACUACAGUUGCUAAGGGAGAGUUUGGCUAAAACAAAAAGCAGAAAGGCUGAGAAUUGUCCAGGGUGAGUCUCCCCCCUUACAGGACUGGAUAUCUGGUGAUAACUGUCCUGUAACGCUCGCCGUCACCUGGCUCCCAAGGCCCGGGUGUCCCUCAGCACCCCGUGUCAGACCUGUGGCCGAGGCGUGGCAGGUCCCCUGGGCUGCAGAGCCUGCUGCUGGCGUCAGAACUGCCAGGGAGAGCUCACUGGCCGCACGUUCCCUUGCUGAGAGGGCCGCAGGCACAGCAGAGGCUCAAGAGAGCACAAGCAGACCACCCGGGCCACCAGCCCCUUUGCAGAGCCUGGAUCCCAGCGCAGUGUGGCGUGCUGUACAAGGGGCCCGCCCACUUCGCUGCGGAAACACCGCCUGCAUGCUUCCGACCCCCCCCCCCCGGGUCUCGCUCAGCAUCGGGCAGGCGGGAACCAGGCUCGGGGCUUACCCCCGGGCCGCCUGUACUGCUCGUGUGACCUUGGACACAGGCUGUUCUUGGUGAAGGUCACUUUCUUCCGCAAAAGUCGGCAGAAUACCUUCUUCAUACAGCUGUGGUGAGCAUUAAAUAGCACAGUUCUUGCUCACAUUGUAUUCCCUCCUCUUCCUGAAGCAACACAUACUGUUACUGCCAUGAAAGAGCCAUAGAAAAGAACCCUGUAUCCCGAGGCCCAACUCAGACACACAGCUGCUGCUCCGUCUCCUCCCUGGGCCAGGACAUCAGAGGAGAGGCAUUUUUAGAACCUCAUAGGAUGUUGUGGAAGAAGAAAUUAAUUUGAAACAGAUUAUAAGUUACAUGUUCAGGCAGAUUUUGAACGCAAAACUCAGUAUGAGUAUUAGCGGAUUAUCUACGAAACAAUGAUAGGAUGCGAUUUUCAAAGUCACCCCCCAGGUGAAAUGGGAUUCCACCUAAUCAGUCACGCCUCAAUGUUCUGUGGCUCACAGACCCGAGGGGGGCAGCCUCGGGCUCUCGCCAGGCAGCGCCCGUUUGUGCAGAAGCACCGCGUAGACGGGCAGCUGCCACGGCUGGGUCCUCUGCAUGCUGGGAAAUAGUCCUUAAACGCAGGGCAGUCUGGACGGAUGCUCUUUAACCCUGGCCCUGGCUCUUCCGUUUCAUCCCGUGCCAUGACUUACACUGACGGGUUGUGAAAUUAAGCAGAACUGGUGAGUUUUGUACCCUUCACACCGCGUCAGCCCAGCUUUUAGGAGCUGCUCGGUGUCUGUCUCGUCUCCCUGCGGGUCGCUCUGUCACAUCACAGGUAGAGCUGCGAGACGUUUCUCCAGGAGAUGGGGGCCAAGUCUUCAGAUCACUCUCUUCAUCCUCUUCGGUGAAUCCUCUUCUUCUGGAAGCUGGUUUCACAUGGUGGCUUAGAUUUUUCGAUCUUUGUAUCUAGCACCAUUUGAAAUCAGUGUUUUAGGAGUAAGAAUUGCAGCAUGACGCGAGGAGGGCUUCUUGGAGUUGCUGCCCGCGGCCCAGCUCUCCAGUGGCGGGACUCCGAAGGCAGAACGCACCUGUGGAUGUGUUGGGUUUGGAGGGCGGCCGAGGAGAGGUCUGUGCUGGGAUGAACGCAGUGGCCUGGCCGGGCAGAGGCAGUCCGUGCUCCUCUGUGAGUCAGGGUGCUGUACGGGCGGCUGUGGUAGGAGGGAGUCCGGGGCCUGCUGCAGCCACCUCAGCGCUGGCUGCCUGCUCCGAGGACGCCCAGGACCGGCUGCAGUCCCGCACCGCUGCUCGCAGGCUUGCCGUCCGCAGGGAGCUGCCCACCGCUGGCUCGUCUCUUACACAGGCUGACCGAUUUCUCCUGGUGUUCAGAGUCUGUUUUUGUCUAGCACCAUUUGAAAUCGGUUAUGAUGUAGGGGGAAAAGCAGCAGCCGCCGCGAAGCCUUGCGCCGGUGUGGUCAGCACAGCCUGUGGGCUCCUGGAGAACGGGCGGGCAGAGGCGGGGGAGAAAGAUCGCGCUUUCCCUGCCACCUUCUUUAACUGUACUUAGGUCACUGUGGAGGUAAGAGAUAAUUUAAUGGAAAAGCAUUAUAAUUUGUCUGAUGUCCUCAGCUGCAUUUUCUGAAACGCAGCACUGCUGCGAUUGUGUAGUGGUUGCUGUUGACAUGUCUUUGUUAGGAAGAGUCUGCUCAUGCGUCCUGACUUUAAUAAAUAAUGUGCUGUGUUCCACUGAUCAUGGCCGUGUUUUUCAUCUGUUAUUUUCCAUUCACAAUUCUGUGACGAUGAGAAGUUAGUUCUGAAAAAGUGAUUUGCUGCGCAGAUCAUCCUACCUGCUUCCUGAGGCAUUUAGAGGUGGUUGCAACAGACGUGAAAAAUGAAGCUCAGGAAGACAAAAAUGAGGUCCUGUGAGCUGGGAAAAUGGAUUAGAGAAGAGAAAAAUGUUGGUGAUGUAGGCUGAGGGAACGGGAAACUGUCCUCGGCUCCCCAAGAGCCGUGGAUGCAGUGCCUCUGCAGAAGGUUCCAGAAACUUGUACUUCGCAGUAUCGUGUGGGCCCGAGCGGAGCAGCACUAAUUUCAGUUGCGUUUUAACAGAUGGAGUUCUACUUUUGGCUGUUAGUUUCUAUCAACUCUCGACGACAGGGUGAGCCAGUUUUGUAGUACUAUUCAGAGAUUAGCCAGAUUUGACUUCUCAGGAGGUGAAGCCCCGACUCUGGGAAGGAAGAUGUAGUCCCUUGGUCGGGCCUUCCCACAGGAAGUACCGGCCCUGUGCUCCCUGCAGGACAGGUAUUUCAGACAGUGAUUUACCUGGACACCAGGCGACGGCAAAUCAGACACCAGAAGCCUUUUCAAAGCCCACGUCCCACCAGGCUCCCCCAGAUGGCUGCCCUGCCCGGGGGCCUGGGGGUGGAAGGCGGAUGAAGCAUUUGUUGGGAAGAUUUCCCAGUGAAUGUGGUGCAUCCUGCAGCUGCAGAGCUAUUUCAGGCUGCUGAUUGAAGAAUCCAUGUUCUAAUCCCCAGGAUGUGGUGGUGAGAAUAGCUAAGGCCUUACAUUGUAUUGUCUUAUUCGCUUCUCUGUCGAAGUAAGCUACAGCAGUAC
ensembl:lncRNA